GAUGAACGCUGGCGGCGUGCCUAAUACAUGCAAGUCGAGCGAACGGACGAGAAGCUUGCUUCUCUGAUGUUAGCGGCGGACGGGUGAGUAACACGUGGAUAACCUACCUAUAAGACUGGGAUAACUUCGGGAAACCGGAGCUAGUACCGGAUAAUAUUUUGAACCGCAUGGUUCAAAAGUGAAAGACGGUCUUGCUGUCACUUAUAGAUGGAUCCGCGCUGCAUUAGCUAGUUGGUAAGGUAACGGCUUACCAAGGCAACGAUGCUUAGCCGACCUGGGAGGGGGAGCGGCCACACUGGAACUGAGACACGGUCCAGACUCCUACGGGAGGCAGCAGUAGGGAAUCUUCCGCAAUGGGCGAAAGCCUGACGGAGCAACGCCGCGUGAGUGAUGAAGGUCUUCGGAUCGUAAAACUCUGUUAUUAGGGAAGAACAGAUGUGUAAGUAACUGUGCACAUCUUGACGGUACCUAAUCAGAAAGCCACGGCUAACUACGUG
rnacentral:rRNA from 1 species